rnacentral:rRNA from 1 species
GAUGAACGCUGGCGGCGUGCCUAAUACAUGCAAGUCGAGCGAAUGGAUUAAGAGCUUGCUCUUAUGAAGUUAGCGGCGGACGGGUGAGUAACACGUGGGUAACCUGCCCAUAAGACUGGGAUAACUCCGGGAAACGGGGGCUAAUACCGGACAACAUUUUGAACCGCAUGGUUCGAAAUUGAAAGGAGGCUUAGGCUGUUACUCAUGGAUGGACCCGCGUCGCAUGAGCUAGUUGGUGAGGUAACGGCUCACCAAGGCAACGAUGCGUAGCCAACCUGAGAGGGUGAUCGGCCACACGGGGAAUGAGACACGGCCCAGACUCCUACGGGAGGCAGCAGUAGGGAAUCUUCCGCAAUGGACGAAAGUCUGACGGAGCAACGCCGCGUGAGUGAUGAAGGCUUUCGGGUCGUAAAACUCUGUUGUUAGGGAAGAACAAGUGCUAGUUGAAUAAGCUGACACCUUGACGGUACCUAACCAGAAAGCCACGGCUAACUACGUGCAGCCGCCGCCGUAA